ACGGGACUACUUAUCGAUGUUAUUCAAACUCCCAAACCCUAUGUGAACUUACCACUUGUUGCUUCGGCGCGCGCUUCGGCGCCGCCGAGGACACUUAAACUCUUUGUUUUUAUAAGCAUUUCUGAGUGGCCGAAAGGCAAAAAUACAAAUGAAUCAAAACUUUCAACAACGGAUCUCUUGGGUUCUGGCAUCGAUGAAGAACGCAGCGAAAUGCGAUAAGUAAUGUGAAUUGCAGAAUUCAGUGAAUCAUCGAAUCUUUGAACGCACAUUGCGCCCGCCAGCAUUCUGGCGGGCAUGCCUGUUCGAGCGUCAUUUCAACCCUCGAGCCCGACUCUUCGGAGGACGGCUCGGCGUUGGGGGACGGCAGACUCCCCCCGGCAUCUCGCCGGGGACGCCGCCCCCGAAAUUUAGUGGCGGCCCUCCGAGGCGACCUCUGCGUAGUAACUUGUUCUCGCACCGGAAAGCUCAGAGCGGCCACGCCGUAAAACCCCAACUUUUUUUAGGUUGACCUCGAAUCAGGUAGGACUACCCGCUGAACUUAAGCAUAUC
rnacentral:rRNA from 1 species